rnacentral:lncRNA from 1 species
CUGCAAUAGGUCCAUCACCCACCCUGCAGUAAAGAAAGCAAUUCCUUAGUACUUAAAACUGUGAGUGCGGUGAUAAAUUUGACAAUUCAUCAUUAUUUGAUUAGAUUUUAUGACACCAAUCCAGUCGUAUCUAACAGCAACAAGCAAAUAGGCAGAUAGGAAGCCAACCAUUUGUAUCUUGUAUAAAGGCUUUGUGAUAUACACACACACACACAGAAUUUUACAGAAGCUGAACCAAAAUUCACAAAAGUAAUACUUAUGAUAAUAACUUAAUAACAAGUGCUGUAACUUUUACAUAUAAGAUGAACCAGUAAACUGUCAAGGUAUAACUAACCUCCCUGGGAUCUUAAAUGUAGCUCCAUUAGUCGAUGUACCAACAGCAAUGUGACCCAUCUGGACAAGAAAUGGUGACUUAGUGUAAUCAAAGUUUACAACAAAAUCUAGCAGAGAUUAUUAACUUACUUUAUCAAUAACUGCCAUUGAUAUGGUGUCAUGGUUGUGAAGACCAAUAUGAGAACUUGAUCUAAUAUUUCCUACCGGAGUGGUGUUUGAACAUGUCUCAUCAUAAAGGCCUACGAAGUCCUUUGCAUGAUAAGGGCCACAUCCACCUACAGGUACGACAUCUUUCCAAAAGUUAGGUUGGCAGUGAUUUUCUUUCCAUUUAGUCCACUUCUCCAUAGACUCUGAUGAACUGAGGUUUGUUGGUCCUGAAAGACCCAUUGAAAUGGCAAACACUGAGGCUUGCUCUCC